rnacentral:rRNA from 1 species
CCUACGGGAGGCAGCAGUGAGGAAUAUUGGUCAAUGGACGAGAGUCUGAACCAGCCACGUAGCGUGAAGGAUGACUGCCCUAUGGGUUGUAAACUUCUUUUAUAUGGGAAUAAAAUGUUCCACGUGUGGGAUUUUGUAUGUACCAUAUGAAUAAGGAACGGCUAAAUCCGUGCCAGCAGCCGCGGUAAUACGGAGGAUCCGAGCGUUAUCCGGAUUUAUUGGGUUUAAAGGGAGCGUAGGUGGAUUGUUAAGUCAGUUGUGAAAGUUUGCGGCUCAACCGUAAAAUUGCAGUUGAAACUGGCAGUCUGGAGUACAGUAGAGGUGAGCGGAAUUCGUGGUGUAGCGGUGAAAUGCUGAGAUAUCACGAAGAACUCCGAUUGCGAAGGCAGCUCACUGGACUGCAACUGACACUGAGGCUCGAAAGUGUGGGUAUCAAACAGGAUUAGAUACCCCAGUAGUUC